rnacentral:rRNA from 1 species
UACGUAGGGGGCAAGCGUUGUCCGGAAUCAUUGGGCGUAAAGAGCGUGUAGGCGGCCCGAUAAGUCCGCUGUGAAAGUCCAGGGCUCAACCCUGGAAAGCGGGUGGAUACUGCCGGGCUAGAAUCCGGAAGAGGCGAGUGGAAUUCUUGGUGUAGCGGUGGAAUGCGCAGAUAUCAGGAGGAACACCAAUAGCGAAGGCAGCUCGCUGGGACGGUAUUGACGCUAAGGCGCGAAAGCGUGGGGAGCAAACAGG